AUUAAAAGGAUAAAAAAAAGAAUGAGAAUACCAAUUGCUUGUUGAAUCAAACCAUUACAAGACAAGAUGCCAUAGUUGCUGUUAAGCUCGGCUUCUUCCCUCACAAUAUUAGCCAUCGAUUUUAGAACCAACCAUCUCUGUAAACACUAUCAGUGUUGUUGUAAAACUAAUUCAAGUGCUCUAAUAGCAUGUGCGUGUAUUUGAGACCAGAUUCUCAACAACACCGUUUUUUU
rnacentral:lncRNA from 1 species